rfam:Caenorhabditis elegans chromosome V
CAGCGGUGAUCGAUGACUUGUGCAGUGGCCGAGGCGAUCGGAUUGUGAUGUCGCCUGAAAAGGCGGGACCCAACGUCGCGCCUUUCGCCAGAAGAUGGAAAUAUGCGCAACGUCUGAGCUGA